CGUAGAUUCCCUGGCAUGUUAGGGAGCAUCGACUGUAUGCAUUGGCAAUGGGAGAAAUGCCCUAAUGCUUGGAGAGGACAAUUUACCCGUGGUGAUCACGGCGUUCCUACUAUGAUCCUUGAAGCGGUUGCUUCUUAUGACCUUCGUAUAUGGCAUGCUUAUUUCGGUGUGGCCGGCUCAAACAAUGAUAUUAACGUGCUUAAUAAGUCACCUUUGUUCGUUCAGGAGUUGAAAGGGGAAGCUCCACGGGUACAAUUCACUGUCAAUGGAAGGCAAUAUAAUCGGGGUUAUUACCUUGCAGAUGGUAUUUAUCCAGAAUGGGCUGUAUUCGUGAAGACUAUACCACUACCCCGGAUAGAGAUUGACAAAGGGUUUGCACGAUAUCAAGAAGGGGCAAGGAAAGAUGUUGAAAGGGCAUUUGGAGUGUUGCAAUCCCGUUUUAACAUCGUGCGACGUCCAGCAAAGUUAUGGAAGCGUGCUUCGGUCGGUAAAAUCAUGGAAGCUUGCAUCAUUCUUCAUAAUAUGAUUGUCGAAGAUGAGGGGGAAAUGGUUCAUAUCCCUUUAGACUUGUACGAGAAUCCUGGAACAUAUUGUGCUUUACCACCGGAGGUCAAUCGUGGUCCUAACAUCUGCUUUACAGAUGUGCUACAAAGGAAUUCCUCUAUUUGUGCACGACCAACACAUCUGAAACUGAAGCAGGAUUUGGUCGAGCAUAUCUGGCAAAAAUUU
rnacentral:rRNA from 1 species